UACGGGGGGGGCAAGCGUUGUUCGGAAUUACUGGGCGUAAAGGGCUCGUAGGCGGCCAACUAAGUCAGACGUGAAAUCCCUCGGCUUAACCGGGGAACUGCGUCUGAUACUGGAUGGCUUGAGUUUGGGAGAGGGAUGCGGAAUUCCAGGUGUAGCGGUGAAAUGCGUAGAGAUCAUGAGGAAGACCAGUGGCGAAGGCGGGUCUCUGGUCAGUUCCUGACACUGAGACACGAAGGCCAGGGGAGCAAACGGG
rnacentral:rRNA from 1 species